rnacentral:rRNA from 1 species
AUUGAACGCUGGCGGCAUGCUUUACACAUGCAAGUCGAACGGUAACAGGGUGCUUGCACCGCUGACGAGUGGCGAACGGGUGAGUAAUGCGUCGGAACGUGCCGAGUAGUGGGGGAUAACGCAUCGAAAGGUGUGCUAAUACCGCAUACGUACUGAGGUAGAAAGUGGGGGACCUUCGGGCCUCACGCUAUUCGAGCGGCCGACGUCUGAUUAGCUAGUUGGUGAGGUAAAGGCUCACCAAGGCGACGAUCAGUAGCGGGUCUGAGAGGAUGAUCCGCCUCACUGGGACUGAGACACGGCCCAGACUCCUACGGGAGGCAGCAGUGGGGAAUUUUGGACAAUGGGCGAAAGCCUGAUCCAGCCAUGCCGCGUGUCUGAAGAAGGCCUUCGGGUUGUAAAGGACUUUUGUCGGGGAGGAAAUCCCCAGCGCUAAUACCGCUGGGGGAUGACAGUACCUGAAGAAUAAGCACCGGCUAACUACGUGCCAGCAGCCGCCGUAAGAC